CGGGGCGUGGUGUAACGGCUAACAUGUCUGGUUUGGGACCAGAUGACUCCGGGUUCGAAUCCCGGCGCCCCGACUA
rnacentral:tRNA from 2 species